CGUAGGGUGCGAGCGUUGUCCGGAAUUACUGGGCGUAAAGAGCUCGUAGGUGGUUUGUCGCGUUGUUCGUGAAAACUCACAACUCAAUUGUGGGCGUGCGGGCGAUACGGGCAGACUGGAGUACUGCAGGGGAGACUGGAAUUCCUGGUGUAGCGGUGGAAUGCGCAGAUAUCAGGAGGAACACCGGUGGCGAAGGCGGGUCUCUGGGCAGUAACUGACGCUGAGGAGCGAAAGCGUGGGGAGCGAACAGGAUUAGAUACCCUGGUAGUCCACGCCGUAAACGGUGGGUACUAGGUGUGGGUUUCCUUCCUUGGGAUCCGUGCCGUAGCUAACGCAUUAAGUACCCCCGCCUGGGGGAGUACGGCCGCAAGGCUA
rnacentral:rRNA from 1 species